rnacentral:rRNA from 1 species
GUCUAUAGCCAUGCCACACUGAAUAAGCCCCUUUGUUUGGUCUCAGAAGCUAAGCAGAAUCAGGCCUGGUUAGUACUUGGAUGGGAGACCCACCUGGGAAGACAAGAUGCUGUAGGGA